rnacentral:lncRNA from 1 species
GAUCACGCGCCUUCCUUUCCCUUGCUUUAGCUAACCGGAAUAACUUUCUGUCCCCGCCUCUCUCCCCUAGUUCCUCGUACAUGCGACCAAACGCCGCGCUUUUAGCUUCCGUAACCGCCAGUUUUGCUUCUUUCCUCGCCACCUUAUAGAUCUCCUUGUUCGCUCUGCGUUCUUCCUCGCUUGUGCUCCUUGCCAACUUAGCAAACGCCGCCUUCUUCAUCUCCACUUUUCCUUCGACUAUAUUGUUCCACCACCAGUCACCCUUAUGUCUGCCUGAAUAGCCCUUGGC